rnacentral:rRNA from 1 species
GAUGAACGCUGGCGGCGUGCCUAAUACAUGCAAGUCGAACGCUGAAGCUUGGUGCUUGCACCGAGCGGAUGAGUUGCGAACGGGUGAGUAACGCGUAGGUAACCUGCCUCUUAGCGGGGGAUAACUAUUGGAAACGAUAGCUAAUACCGCAUAAAAGUCGAUAUCGCAUGAUAUUGAUUUGAAAGGUGCAAAUGCAUCACUAAGAGAUGGACCUGCGUUGUAUUAGCUAGUUGGUGAGGUAACGGCUCACCAAGGCGACGAUACAUAGCCGACCUGAGAGGGUGAUCGGCCACACUGGGACUGAGACACGGCCCAGACUCCUACGGGAGGCAGCAGUAGGGAAUCUUCGGCAAUGGGGGCAACCCUGACCGAGCAACGCCGCGGGAGUGAAGAAGGGUUUCGGAUCGUAAAGCUCUGUUGUAAGAGAAGAACGAGUGUGAGAGUGGAAAGUUCACACUGUGACGGUAACUUACCAGAAAGGGACGGCUAACUACGUG